GGGGCUAGGAAGCUCCGACUACGGUGCUACAAACACCGAUCCGAACGAGGUGGAAUACGUCGACCGAUAGGGCUGUCACUACCCUAGGGCUACCACAACAAUCCGCAGGAUUGGGUGCAAUUCCAGAUAAUUGCAAGACUAAACACCACGUCUAAUCUAUUAAUUACUACUCUAAUGUUUCAAAGAUUAGAGCACUUGAUGCAAGCGGGAAUCUAAUAAAUAACUUGAAUGUAAAUAAAAGUAAUUAAAGAACUCAGGAAUUGUGAAAUGAAGAACCUGGAGAACGAUGAAGAACGAACCAGUUGCUGCAAAAGUACAAUGUUGAGGAAGAUCCGACAGAUCCGGCUCCUCCUCCGCUCUCCUCUUCUCUCUCCCUAUUUUCUAGAUUACAACUAGAACUAACUAGAACUAGGACUAGAGGAACUAGAACUAGAACUAGAUGAACUAGAACUAGAUCUAGAUGAACUAGAGGUAGAACUAGAAGAACUAGAGGGAUCCUCUCUACUUGGAUAAAGAAUUGAAACCCUAGCUUUGAUUCUGUAGAAGAGGUAUGAUCUCCAGGGGCCAGGGGGUCUGGUUUUAUAGUCCCUUCAAGUGAAUCUGGGCCGUCGAAUCAAACCGACUUUGAUCGUGUGGUUUUUCUUGAAGUAUUAGGUCGGUGGAGCAUGAUCCCCGAGCUUCACCCUGAUUGGUCCAGGGGGGAGGGCGGGCGCCCAGUAAAGGAGGGCAGGCGCCCAGUGCCCGGCCCCGUCACGUCUCCCGUUCGCUCCCGUGGCUUCUGGACUCUUCUAGAUGGUAGAUAAUUGCGCGUCAAGUUAAUAUCCCUAUGUAAACCCGACGUAUGGGCCUUUCUUCCGUAUUUCCUGAUAACCCCCUACAGAAAUAGACAAACACCAAAACUCGUGGAAUUCUGUCAGAUAAAACCCUAAGUCUAGGUGUUAGUUGCAUUUGGAUCCUUUUCCUUGAUUAGUUGAUGGUUAAAUAUGAGCAUUGAGGACCGUCAACAAGCUCCCCCAAGCUUAACCUUUGCUCGUCCAUGAGCAAAGAUGGAGUCAAGAGUUUCUGCAGUGGUUUCAUGCCUUAAACGUACACAUGCGUUCAAACAAGAUCUCAUCUCUGAGUUAGGGUAAACUAUUAAGAUUUAAACUUACUCAUUUUACCUUUCACCAUGGGGCUUACAACCGUCACUUAUGUCUUGAGCAGUUAAAAGAUAGAACGGUCUAGUUAAACACCAUGUCUCUUAUUCUUGAUCAGCUAUAGCUCUGGAGUUUUUUUGCAGAUUUUCAAAUAAAACUCAGAGAUUCCUUGUAUGACUCUCUCUAGUCUCUCUUUUGUGGUAUUUCUGGAUUCUUACCAAGACAGUAAUGGUAUAUGCCUUCUCUCAAAGUAUGUGGUAUUUUUGGUAUAAGGCAUAGUGGCAUUGCCUUCUCUCUCACCCUACUCUAAUAAGGUUUUGAUAUCUGGAGCUCAUAGGUGGGAGAUAGCUAAUACAUACUUACAAGACAUUUAUUGCAUAGUCAAACCAUGGAUCCAGAAGAACAAGUCAAUAAGUCAAAUCAAGAUAUGCAUGUGUGGCAAAUGAAUGGUGAUAAUGGUGAAAGUAAUGGUGCAAGUCUAAUUCUACUUUUGCUCUUUUGAGGGGGUACAUACCUUUCUUGCUCUUUUGAAACUUUUUGAGGAGAAUGAGAUGCUCUAUAUUUUCUUUUUCUUUUCUCUCAGGUGGGUAUCUUGUAUCCCUAAUUCUACUGUCGGACACUUGUCCAUUUUUACCUCUCGUCUUACUUUUUUUUUCUUUCGAGGUUCCGGGCACUUGCCCCUUUUUAUUUCCUCGUAUACUUUCUUUUUUUCUUUCUUCUUUUUUUAGAGCACUCAUUUCCUAAAAUAAUAUAGCAAGUGGUAGUAACCAAGAUAACUUGAACAUUUAUUUCACAGGGAAAAACAUAAAUAGAAGAAUGUUUUUGGUUAUUCUCUCCCGGAUUAGGAGUAGAAUAUUUUUGGGUGGUUCUGGAGAUGGAAAUGGAUGGAUAUAUGUGGAUGUGUACUUUCGAAGUAGAAGUAGCAUGUAUGAGUGAACGUGCAAAUGAAUCUUGAUUUAACCACAUGACAAGCUCCUAAGGGUCUACACAGCUUGACCACACUCAAUGCUCAUAAGCAGUAAAAAGUAAAUGUGUAGCUCAAAGUCUAGCAAGCAUGUAUAUAUGGCUGUGGUAGGAAUUUAAACUCUCAUCAUACAGGAACUCAUCAUGUGUUAUUUUAAAGAUUUUCAAAGAUAAAAUUCUCCAGAAUUCUAGCAUCUCUAGGAACAGAUAAACAGCAGCUCAACCUUCCCAUACCAUAUCCGUUAACGACUUAGACUUUAGAUCAAGUAGUCUUCCCACAAGUUCAGGUUUAGAGCAAAUCUUAAUUAAUAACAGUCAUGCCUAAACUUGAGGGAGAUUUCAAUUUUGAGAACUAGUCAUGGCAGAGCAACUAUUCAUCAUUUCCAUGUGAGAGCUUAUCAUAAGGGUUCAUAGCAAAUUUUAUUUAUUUAUUUAUUUAGCAAACUAAGCAAAGAUAUAUAUAAGCACAAAAUCUUUAUUUGGGUUUUUAUGAUUAUGCAUCUUUUUAUUAUUUGAGUAAAAUAUAAACGUGAGUAGAACACUUAGCUGGAUAAAUGGGGGUGCUCUCCCCCAAGCUGGAUUUUCACGUAAUUUCUUCUGAUGUAGCUAGUAGGUGGUGGAGGUGUAUUUGAAUGUCAGCAGCACCCUGACAGUGAUUAGGAUGUCCUCCGUCUGCUAGUCUUCUUUGAUCCUUGAAUUCUGUGGAGCUCAAAUAGACAACAAAGCUUUGUGGAACUGGUUAAGUGUUAGCAUAAAUAUUUAGCCUUUAUCAUGUUGAGCCUCCUCAAUAAAUGUUACACUCUUUAGUAGAAUCAUAAAUUUAUUUUUAUAAUUUUAUUUUUAUAGGACAUGAAUAUAUUUAUUUUAUUUUUAUACUACCGCAGUGAAUGUACUUAUGGGUUUUAUGCCAUGAGCAUACUCACAUGGGGCUUACUAUUUUUAAUAUUUUUAUUUUCUUUUCAAGAUGAUAUGAACCUUAUUAACUAAGCAAACUAUUUUAAAUAAUUGAAAGGAAAAAGAUAACUACCAAGUUUACCUCUUGGCAAGGCGUUCGGUGUUUUUAAGUCCUCCGAACGGGACUCUCCGUUUCCUCAGUCGUCCUGGGAUUCGCUGGAUGGCGUAGUCGGUGGUUCCGACGGCGUCUACUCUUCAUGUAUAACUAUCUUCUCUCUCCACACCUGCCUCGGUGCACUUCUCCUUCGUAGACUCGUAGUCCGCCCAUCCGUCCUUGAUGAUUUUCCUCGUCUGGUUGCGGUUACGUCGUCUUCUUCUUGUCCUGACCUGCUUAGAGUCUUCGACUAUAUAGUUAGGGUCAGUAAAAUAGCAACGUACCUUCUCAGAGGGAAAAUGCAUGUGGACUCUGCUGGUUCCAAUGUAGAUGAUUGCUUUAACGGUGCUGAGGAACAGUCUCCCAAGAAUGAUGGGUAGAUCGUACUCGUCUUCUCCCAUGUCAAUAACCUUUCAGAAUGUCUGAUAUGCCAUCUGGAGCUGAAUGUAUGUCGGUUUUAGGGGCAUGGUUCUGAACAGGAGCUGAUAGGUGACUGGGUCGUCCUUUUUGGUCAGGAACGGUGACUUAAGUCGACGGCCUUGACCUCCUUGAACUGCAGUGACCAUCUUAGCUGACUCAGUCUACAUUUGCUUGUUCCUGUUCCUCCUAUUGGUCCUCUUCCUUGGUUCAUGUCGGGAUUGCUCUGAGAUUUGUGUAGUCUUGUUCUUGAAGGAAAACGUCUCCUUUCUCUCUUUUGAUGUAGAAACUGAUCUUGGCAGCACUAGCGUAGAUGACAGCUCCUGAGGUGUUCAGAAAUGGCCUCCCUAGGAUGAUGGAUGCCCUCUCAUCAGUAUCAGUCUCUAUCACCACGAAGUCUGCUGAAGCGUAUAAGGUACCAACUCGGACAUAGAGGUUCUUCAAUAUUCCCCUGGGCAUAAUGUUGACACUGGAGCCAAAGUCGUAGAGUGCUUCUAGGAAGUCCACCAUGCCGAUGGAGAUCGGGAUGACGGGGUGUCCUGGAUUGUCUCUCUUGACCGGCAGAAGGUCAGUAAUUACUUCCACAACAGGGUUACUCCAAUAGUUACGUCCUCAAGCAUCUCAGGGCAGUGAAUGCCUGAGUGUCCAGUAUCUCCAGUGUGUUUGUGCUCGUAGAUCUAGGUUCUUCACUUGGUGGAGUCUGGGAGUUGUAAAAGUCCUUCAUAUUUUGCUCGAAGUGUACCUGCUCAUAGAGACAAGGUAGAGAUCAAGUGCAUGGGCCCUAUUGGUGGAAAACACCAACAGAACCAAAAGUGUAUUUGUUCUUCUCUAACCUUAAGCAUAGUGAGCAAGAAAAUGAUGGAUAAUAAGAUCAUGAGUAUAACAUUUAAAACAUUUGUCAGAUCAAAUCGCUCAACCUAGUGGAAAGAUAAUCUAUCUAUAUUUAUGUUGUUUUUUUAUAAAAUAUAUAUAUCUUCCAAAGAUUGAGUGUGCAAAAUUUUAGCUGAUAUUAGGAGUAUGGGAUCACAAAGGUGGAAGGACUAAACAUGUUGAAUCGAUUGGGUUGGUUAAUCUAGAGUUGU
rnacentral:lncRNA from 1 species